GUCUACAAUCGAGGAGACAGAGGCUCAAGCAGGGCAAGUCCUCUACCCAAGGGCACACAGCCCAGAGCGGGGAGGAUGGAGCCUGGUCAGCCUGGUCUGGUUAAUAAGGUCUUUUCAGGGUUGUGCAAGGCCCCCUACCUGCCCCUGACCAACUUGCCACAUUGAAAAGUGUGUGCUUGGCUUAUCCAACACCACCUUGCCACAUUGAAAAGUGUGUGCUUGGCUUAUCCAACACCACCUUGUUGUCUAUACAACUACAGCAAGGAGCAUGGAGAGGUUUAGAAGAACCCUUGCCCUCCUUCAUUCAUUCUGCCUUGACUCAGCCCUGAGCUCUGCAAAGAUGCAUGCUCAGCACAAAUACAUCUUCACAUCUUAGUCCAAAUUCUGGAAAGUCUGAAUGCUCAUAACCAGUGUGUUUUGCUGAGAAAACGGGCUGAUGACAAGUCAGCCUACUCUGUCCCUGUACACGUGUGGCCU
rnacentral:antisense_RNA from 1 species